GUGUUUUUAGCUUAAUGGUAGAGCAACUAUCUUCGAUAUGUACAUGUUUCAUUCAUGUAUGGCACU
rnacentral:tRNA from 1 species